GGAGGGAUGGCCGAGCGGUUUAAGGCACAGGUCUUGAAAACCUGCGUGGGGUUACACUCCACCGUGGGUUCGAAUCCCACUCCCUCCG
rnacentral:tRNA from 1 species